AUUGAACGCUGGCGGCAGGCUUAACACAUGCAAGUCGAGCGGGGUGAUGGUGCUUGCACUAUCACUUAGCGGCGGACGGGUGAGUAAUGCUUAGGAAUCUGCCUAUUAGUGGGGGACAACAUCUCGAAAGGGAUGCUAAUACCGCAUACGUCCUACGGGAGAAAGCAGGGGAUCACUUGUGACCUUGCGCUAAUAGAUGGGCCUAAGUCGGAUUAGCUAGUUGGUGGGGUAAAGGCCUACCAAGGCGACGAUCUGUAGCGGGUCUGAGAGGAUGAUCCGCCACAAUGGGACUGAGACACGGCCCAGACGCCUACGGGAGGCAGCAGUGGGGAAUAUUGGACAAUGGGGGGAACCCUGAUCCAGCCAUGCCGCGUGUGUGAAGAAGGCCUUAUGGUUGUAAAGCACUUUAAGCGAGGAGGAGGCUCUUUUGGUUAAUACCCAGAAUGAGUGGACGUUACUCGCAGAAUAAGCACCGGCUAACUCUGUGCCAGCAGCCGCCGUAA
rnacentral:rRNA from 1 species